AACUCUGUAUUUCAAGAGA
rnacentral:snRNA from 1 species